rnacentral:rRNA from 1 species
UACGAAGGGGGCUAGCGUUGUUCGGAAUCACUGGGCGUAAAGCGCACGUAGGCGGAUUGUUAAGUCAGGGGUGAAAUGCCAAGGCUCAACCUUGGAACUGCCUUUGAUACUGGCAAUCUCGAGUCCGGGAGAGGUGAGUGGAACUGCGAGUGUAGAGGUGAAAUUCGUAGAUAUUCGCAAGAACACCAGUGGCGAAGGCGGCUCACUGGCCCGGUACUGACGCUGAGACGCGAAAGCGUGGGGAGCAAACAGG